UGCGCCUGGCUACUGCACUAGUAGAAUGCCGCGGGUGGUCACAUGUCAGCUCCACGGCUACUAGGAUAGUGGACACAGCGAGCCUGGCUACUGCACUAGUAGAAUGUUGCGGGUGGUGACACGUCAGCGCCACGGUACUAGGAUAGUGGACACAGCGCGCCUGGCUACUACACUAGUAGAAUGCCGCGGGUGGUGACAUGUGAGCGCCGCGGCUACUACCUUACUGGACACAGUUGUUGUUGUUGUUGUGGUUACAGUAUUUCCGCCGCCGACGCGGCGGGUGCCCUCACGAGCCGUGAGGCUCCAGAGCACGCUGUUGACGCUCAUCAAAAACCUCAGUAAGGAAAGUAGCGAUUUUCCUCGGAUUGGUAUUAAGAAAUACCUUGCGCAUAUCAGUAUCUUCAACGUUAAUCAGAAACCUAUUACGCAACUCAGUAUACGCCUCACACUCCAUGAGCACAUGAUAUUCAUCCUCAACCUUACCCGACGUACAGACCUGACACGUACGGCACUCUCUCGGCCUAUGGUGUCCUUUGUUGACCUCCAAAGGCCAACAACAAAGACGGAAUUUGGCAACCAUACGCAACUGGUUGACCGGCAAAUAAACACGCAAAUAGCCUGUGGGAUCGGAGCCCUCUCUUGCUGGUGAAGCCCAUCCAGUUAUGAUACCUGCAAAGCGAAACCCCUUUACCUUGGAACACACGCGGAUCACCCCCUUGGCUGAACUGAUCCCAGUCACUUAAAAGGAACGCAGAUAACCUCUCCAGAACCUCACCCACUCGAAUCAACUGAGACGAGUAUACAUCUACCGUCUGAGAAACGGAGUCACACGCCGGCCACUCAUGGCCCAACCAACGCAAAAUGAUGAGCACUUUAGACGACCAGCAAUCCACUUUGAGAUCAGACAGAAGAGCCAGACGGAGAUCAUCUACUAACACGUCAUGAUAGACCGACCCACGGGACUUGACUAUCUUAUUCCAGAAACACAACGCAAGGCGUAACCAAAAGUACUGCAAAGGCAACUGAGACAGCUCCCUGUACAACAGCUUGUAAGGUACCUGCUUGAGCCCAGCACAACGUANACAGAAGUCACGCUGGACCUGGACCAUACCAUCUUCCAAAGCCAAAUCAAAAUAUGACUUACCAGCGGGUAAAACACCUUUACCUAACCGCAGGACGGAGACAAUCCUAUCAGGACCCCAGACCUCAGCACCAUAACAGAGAACCGAACGGACCUGGGUGUCGAACGCUUGAAGCCGAACGGCAGGAGCCCACACCCUGUUCUCAUCCAACCGAUUACUAAGACCGAACAUAGCCCGUCGCCCUGCUUCCAAAAGUUCGUUGACACAACUCGCAAACGGGGACGCAGGGCCCCAAUAGAGACCCAAGUACCUAACGCGACCACACCAGUUAAUAGGACUAGGAACAAGUAAACUACCAACCAUGGGUGGGUGCCAAAGCGACCCAUCAGUACGGAGAGGAAGCAUGAGCCUCACCCCCUCAAACGCCCUCUUAACGACAUCAACGGAAGCAGCCACAACAAGGGCCUCACAUUUCCGAACGUUGCAGCGCAUACCAAAAGCAGCACAGAACUCAAUAAGCAGCUUAAGCGAGAACUGGAGGCGUGCCAACGAGGUCGCGAACAAAGUAAGGUCGUCUGCAUAGAACAACAGAGGCAGCCGACGAUCAUUAAUGACAGGACAUUCGUGUGCACGUGUGUUGAACCAUUCGUCCAUACCAUCCCUCGCUUCAAGGUAGUCGGCAAUAACCUCAAUGAAGAACCCGAACAAAUUGGGACUCAUGGGACACCCCUGCUUCACGCCCUGCAGAGAGGCAAAGAUGGACCCUAGGCGACCGUUAACCUUGACCCGUUGGAGAACACGUUCGUAGCUGGCUUUAAGGGCCGCCAACAUGGGUCCAUGCACACCCCUCUCCUCAAGACGCUGCCACAGGCUUGCCCGGGGCACUGUGCGCCUGGCUACGGCACUAGUAGAAUGCCGCGGGUGGUCACAUGUCAGCUCCACGGCUACUAGGAUAGUGGACACAGCGCGCCUGGCUACUGCACUAGCACAAUGCCGCGGGUGGUGACACCUCAGCUCCACGGCUACUAGGAUUGUGGACACAGCGCGCCUGGCUACUGCACUAGUAGAAUGCUGCGGGUGGUGACACGUCAGCGCCGCGGUACUAGGAUAGUGGGCACACUGCGCCUGGCUACUGCACUAGUAGAAUGCCGCGGGUGGUGACACGUCAGCGCCGCGGUACUAGGAUAGUGGACACAGCGCGCCUGGCUACUACACUAGUAGAAUGCCGCGGGUGGUGACACGUCAGCGCCGCGGCUACUACCUUACUGGACACAGUGCGCCUGGCUACUGUACUAGUAGAAUGCCGCGGGUGGUGACACGUCAGCUCCACAGCUACUAGGAUAGUGGACACAGCGCGCCUGGCUACUACACUAGUAGA
rnacentral:lncRNA from 1 species